UACGAAGGGUGCAAGCGUUACUCGGUAUUACUGGGCGUAAAGCGCACGUAGGCGGCUUUGUAAGUUAGAGGUGAAAGCCCGGGGCUCAACUCCGGAAUUGCCUUUAAGACUGCAUCGCUAGAGUUGUGGAGAGGUAAGUGGAAUUCCGAGUGUAGAGGUGAAAUUCGUAGAUAUUCGGAAGAACACCAGUGGCGAAGGCGACUUACUGGACACAUAUUGACGCUGAGGUGCGAAAGCGUGGGGAGCAAGCAGG
rnacentral:rRNA from 1 species